rfam:Struthio camelus australis contig44111, whole genome shotgun sequence.
CCAACGGCUCUUUUAAGAGCCACCCACACUAUCCCUAAAGGAGCUG